GUGAACAUACCUAAAACGUUGCUUCGGCGGGAACAGACGGCCCUGUAACAACGGGCCGCCCCCGCCAGAGGACCCCUAACUCUGUUUUUAUAAUGUUUUUCUGAGUAAACAAGCAAAUAAAUUAAAACUUUCAACAACGGAUCUCUUGGCUCUGGCAUCGAUGAAGAACGCAGCGAAAUGCGAUAAGUAAUGUGAAUUGCAGAAUUCAGUGAAUCAUCGAAUCUUUGAACGCACAUUGCGCCCGCCAGUAUUCUGGCGGGCAUGCCUGUUCGAGCGUCAUUACAACCCUCAGGCCCCCGGGCCUGGCGUUGGGGAUCGGCAGAAGCCCCCUGUGGGCACACGCCGUCCCUCAAAUACAGUGGCGGUCCCGCCGCAGCUUCCAUUGCGUAGUAGCUAACACCUCGCAACUGGAGAGCGGCGCGGCCAUGCCGUAAAACACCCAACUUCUGAAUGUUGACCUCGAAUCAGGUAGGAAUACCCGCUGAACUUAAGCAUAUCAU
rnacentral:rRNA from 1 species